rnacentral:rRNA from 1 species
GACGAACGCUGGCGGCGCGCCUAACACAUGCAAGUCGAACGGAGCUGAGAGAAGCUUGCUUUUCUUAGCUUAGUGGCGAACGGGUGAGUAACGCGUGAGUAACCUGCCCUGGAGUGGGGGACAACAGUUGGAAACGACUGCUAAUACCGCAUAAGCUCACGAUCCGGCAUCGGAUUGAGGGAAAAGGAUUUAUUCGCUUCAGGAUGGACUCGCGUCCAAUUAGCUAGUUGGUGAGGUAACGGCCCACCAAGGCGAGGAUUGGUAGCCGGACUGAGAGGUUGAACGGCCACAUUGGGACUGAGACACGGCCCAGACUCCUACGGGAGGCAGGAGUGGGGGAUAUUGCAGAAUGGGGGAAACCCUGAUGCAGCGACGCCGCGUGGAGGAAGAAGGUUUUCGGAUUGUAAACUCCUGUCGUUAGGGACGAUAAUGACGGUACCUAGCAAGAAAGCACCGGCUAACUACGUG